rnacentral:rRNA from 1 species
AGUGAACGCUGGCGGUAGGCCUAACACAUGCAAGUCGAACGGCAGCACAGUAAGAGUUUGCUCUUACGGGUGGCGAGUGGCGGACGGGUGAGGAAUAUAUCGGAAUCUACUUUUUCGUGGGGGAUAACGUAGGGAAACUUACGCUAAUACCGCAUACGACCUACGGGUGAAAGCAGGGGAUCUUCGGACCUUGCGCGAUUGAAUGAGCCGAUGUCGGAUUAGCUAGUUGGCGGGGUAAAGGCCCACCAAGGCGACGAUCCGUAGCUGGUCUGAGAGGAUGAUCAGCCACACUGGAACUGAGACACGGUCCAGACUCCUACGGGAGGCAGCAGUGGGGAAUAUUAGACAAUGGGCGCAAGCCUGAUCCAGCCAUACCGCGUGGGUGAAGAAGGCCUUCGGGUUGUAAAGCCCUUUUGUUGGGAAAGAAAAGCGGCAGGUUAAUACCCCGCUGUUCUGACGGUACCCAAAGAAUAAGCACCGGCUAACUUCGUG